rnacentral:rRNA from 1 species
CAGCAGCCGCGGGAAUACGUAGGGUCCGAGCGUUGUCCGGAAUUAUUGGGCGUAAAGCGUGCGUAGGCGGCUUUUUAAGUCGGAUGUGAAAUCCCUGAGCUUAACUUAGGAAUUGCAUUCGAUACUGGGAAGCUAGAGUAUGGGAGAGGAUGGUAGAAUUCCAGGUGUAGCGGUGAAAUGCGUAGAGAUCUGGAGGAAUACCGAUGGCGAAGGCAGCCCCCUGGACGAAGACUGACGCUCAGGUGCGAAAGCGUGGGGAGCAAACAGGAUUAGAUACCCCGGUAGUCCCUGUCUCUUAUAC